AUUGAACGCUGGCGGCAUGCCUUACACAUGCAAGUCGAACGGUAGAGUAGCAAUACUUGAGAGUGGCGAACGGGUGAGUAAUAUAUCGGAACGUGCCCAGUCGUGGGGGAUAACGUAGAGAAAUUUACGCUAAUACCGCAUACGAUCUAAGGAUGAAAGCGGGGGGAUUCGCAAGAACCUCGCGCGAUUGGAGCGGCUGAUAUCAGAUUAGGUUGUUGGUGAGGUAAAAAGCUCACCAAGCCGACGAUCUGUAGCUGGUUUGAGAGAACGACCAGCCACACUGGGACUGAGACACGGCCCAGACUCCUACGGGAGGCAGCAGUGGGGAAUUUUUGGGACAAUGGGCGAAAGCCUGAUCCAGCAAUGCCGCGUGCAGGAAGAAGGCCUGGUUGUAACUAGCUUUGUUAC
rnacentral:rRNA from 1 species